rnacentral:lncRNA from 1 species
ACGUUUUUCCGAUUUACAAGAAAUGUAAAUAAUUAAAAGUCAUUUAACAAAACAAGGCAAGGGCUUAGUGUAUGAAUAUUUGACGCUGUACAGAAAUGCUCGACCAUCUUUGUCGUUAGAAACAAGCAAAUAUUUUAAUUUGUUGUUGAAGGAAACUGCCCAAGGUAAACCACAUAAGUCUGUUUUCGACAGGAGAAUUUUGUGCAUUGUGCCAUGAGAGGAUAUUGCAAUAACGUUGUUUGAUUCGACCCCGGCGACUAUAACAUUUCCAAGGUCAUUUUCUGUGAUGCCUCGCGGCUUUUG